rnacentral:ncRNA from 12 species
GAGUUUGGUCUAGUGGUAUGAUUCUCGCUUAGGGUGCGAGAGGUCGUGGGUUCAAUUCCCGCAACU